rnacentral:lncRNA from 1 species
ACAUUUCCCAGAAGGCAAUGGGCGCGCUAGUUCUAUAGCUUUCCUUCUUUCUUUGCGUGGUUUUUGAGCUUUUCAGGGUGAGUUAAACUUCUUCCAGAAUACCAUAAACUAAAGGUGCUUGCCGACAGGGCUGUGGGAAACCGGAUUAAAUUGGAGCCAGACCUGAAUCUCCCGGAGCUGGAAAAAGCCCUUCGAAGAACGAAAAGCCGCAGAAUGGACGGCUGUUUGUAAACCGAAAUUCAAGGCCAGUGCAUUCAUGAACUGGGGAGCGUAGUUGUGUGCCUGUGUAUGUCAGAUGGGAAACGAAGGAGACCUUGUAAGAGAGAGUGACAGACAGGCAGACAAGCACAGAGAGAGAAAGUUGCGAGCAGGAGGGCUGGAAUAUGUCUGUUCGCCUCUGCGCUUUUGCGACUGGCAGCUCUAGAUACUCAGCAAUUUAAAGUUUUUCCAGUACUGGACCAUUGAGGAAGACUUAUUAGAGCUUACAUUUCUAAAACCAUGAUCUGUGUAAGUUAAUUAUUUUUUCUGUUUCCUUGCAAUAUUAAGAUU